rnacentral:rRNA from 1 species
AGUGAACGCUGGCGGUAGGCCUAACACAUGCAAGUCGAACGGCAGCACAGUAAGAUCUUGCUCUUACGGGUGGCGAGUGGCGGACGGGUGAGGAAUACAUCGGAAUCUACUUUUUCGUGGGGGAUAACGUAGGGAAACUUACGCUAAUACCGCAUACGACCUACGGGUGAAAGCAGUGGAUCUUCGGACCUUUCGCGAUUGAAUGAGCCGAGUUCGGAUUAGCUAGUUGGCGGGGUAAAGGCCCACCAAGGCGACGAUCCGUAGCUGGUCUGAGAGGAUGAUCAGCCACACUGGAACUGAGACACGGUCCAGACUCCUACGGGAGGCAGCAGUGGGGAAUAUUGGACAAUGGGCGCAAGCCUGAUCCAGCCAUACCGCGUGGGUGAAGAAGGCCUUCGGGUUGUAAAGCCCUUUUGUUGGGAAAGAAAAGCAGCAGGUUAAUACCCCGCUGUUCUGACGGUACCCAAAGAAUAAGCACCGGCUAACUUCGUG